AGCGAACGCUGGCGGUAGGCCUAACACAUGCAAGUCGAACGGCAGCACAGUAAGAGCUUGCUCUUACGGGUGGCGAGUGGCGGACGGGUGAGGAAUACAUCGGAAUCUACUUUUUCGUGGGGGAUAACGUAGGGAAACUUACGCUAAUACCGCAUACGACCUACGGGUGAAAGCAGGGGAUCUUCGGACCUUGCGCGAUUGAAUGAGCCGAUGUCGGAUUAGCUAGUUGGCGAGGUAAAGGCCCACCAAGGCGACGAUCCGUAGCUGGUCUGAGAGGAUGAUCAGCCACACUGGAACUGAGACACGGUCCAGACUCCUACGGGAGGCAGCAGUGGGGAAUAUUGGACAAUGGGCGCAAGCCUGAUCCAGCCAUACCGCGUGGGUGAAGAAGGCCUUCGGGUUGUAAAGCCCUUUUGUUGGGAAAGAAAAGCAGCAGGUUAAUACCCCGCUGUUCUGACGGUACCCAAAGAAUAAGCACCGGCUAACUUCGUG
rnacentral:rRNA from 1 species